GCCCCCGUAGCUCAGUGGAUAGAGCACCUGCCUUCUAAGCAGCUGGUCGGAGGUUCGAAUCCUCUCGGGGGCG
rnacentral:tRNA from 1 species